AAAGAUGACUGAGUGGUUUAAAGUGGAGAUCUGCUAAAUCUUUAUAUAGAAUUAACUAUAUCGUGGGUUCGAAUCCCUCUCUUUC
rnacentral:tRNA from 16 species